GAUGAAGAACGCAGCGAAAUGCGAUAAGUAAUGUGAAUUGCAGAAUUCAGUGAAUCAUCGAAUCUUUGAACGCACCUUGCGCCCUUUGGACUUCUGAAGGGCAUGCCUGUUUGAGUAUCAUGAACACCUCAACUCCUUAUGGUCUUCCAUGAUGAGCUUGGACUUUGGGGGUUUUGCUGGCCUACAGUCAGCUCCUCUAAAAUAAAUCAGCUUACCGGUGUUUGGUGGGUAUCAUGGGUGUGAUAACUAUCUACGCUCGUGGUUUUCCACCAGGUAACCUUCAGCAGUGGAGGUUCACUGGAGCUCAUAGAUGUCUCUCCUCAGCGAGGACAGCCCUUUGAAUGUUUGUUCUCAAAUCAGGUAGGACUACCCGCUGAACUUAAGCAUAUCAAUAAGCGGAGGA
rnacentral:misc_RNA from 1 species